GGCCUCUCGCGUCAGGAUAUGCCUAGGUGGGAUUAGCUAGUUGGUGAGGUAAGGGCUCACCAAGGCGACGAUCCCUAGCUGGUCUGAGAGGAUGAUCAGCCACACUGGAACUGAGACACGGUCCAGACUCCUACGGGAGGCAGCAGUGGGGAAUAUUGCACAAUGGGCGCAAGCCUGAUGCAGCCAUGCCGCGUGUGUGAAGAAGGCCUUCGGGUUGUAAAGCACUUUCAGUCGUGAGGAAGGUAGUGUAGUUAAUAGCUGCAUUAUUUGACGUUAGCGACAGAAGAAGCACCGGCUAACUCCGUGCCAGCAGCCGCGGUAAUACGGAGGGUGCGAGCGUUAAUCGGAAUUACUGGGCGUAAAGCGCAUGCAGGUGGUUUGUUAAGUCAGAUGUGAAAGCCCGGGGCUCAACCUCGGAAUUGCAUUUGAAACUGGCAGACUAGAGUACUGUAGAGGGGGGUAGAAUUUCAGGUGUAGCGGUGAAAUGCGUAGAGAUCUGAAGGAAUACCGGUGGCGAAGGCGGCCCCCUGGACAGAUACUGACACUCAGAUGCGAAAGCGUGGGGAGCAAACAGGAUUAGAUACCCUGGUAGUCCACGCCGUAAACGAUGUCUACUUGGAGGUUGUGGCCUUGAGCCGUGGCUUUCGGAGCUAACGCGUUAAGUAGACCGCCUGGGGAGUACGGUCGCAAGAUUAAAACUCAAAUGAAUUGACGGGGGCCCGCACAAGCGGUGGAGCAUGUGGUUUAAUUCGAUGCAACGCGAAGAACCUUACCUACUCUUGACAUCCAGAGAACUUUCCAGAGAUGGAUUGGUGCCUUCGGGAACUCUGAGACAGGUGCUGCAUGGCUGUCGUCAGCUCGUGUUGUGAAAUGUUGGGUUAAGUCCCGCAACGAGCGCAACCCUUAUCCUUGUUUGCCAGCGAGUAAUGUCGGGAACUCCAGGGAGACUGCCGGUGAUAAACCGGAGGAAGGUGGGGACGACGUCAAGUCAUCAUGGCCCUUACGAGUAGGGCUACACACGUGCUACAAUGGCGCAUACAGAGGGCAGCCAACUUGCGAAAGUGAGCGAAUCCCAAAAAGUGCGUCGUAGUCCGGAUUGGAGUCUGCAACUCGACUCCAUGAAGUCGGAAUCGCUAGUAAUCGUGGAUCAGAAUGCCACGGUGAAUACGUUCCCGGGCCUUGUACACACCGCCCGUCACACCAUGGGGAGUGGGCUGCAAAAGAAGUAGGUAGUUUAACCUUCGGGGGGGACGCUUACCACUUUUGUGGUUCAUGACUGGGGGUGAAUC
rnacentral:rRNA from 1 species